GUUCAGAUCAUGGCUAAAGGAAACAGACACCUCUUCUUUUGAUCUCCCAGCCAAUUGAGGCGAUGCUCCAUGACAAGUCCUGCGUGAGAUGAUAUGGUUACGUAACGGGUUCUUGCUUCGUAGGCCGCUUAGGUUAUGAUGCGGCAGUCAGAUUUGGUCUUCGGCCUUGACGUGAAGGUCAGAUGCUCGACAAAAUGUGGCUGAAGUAAGUGGGAAUCCAGUAAAGGAAUUGGAGUUGUGACUUGAAACAGCGGGAUGAAAGAAUGCUGUGAAGCUGAGAAUUUCGGAACUAGUUGUGAUUAUUUUUAGUCUGUGUAGCAGAACGAUCGAAAUUAUAGCUGAGUCAUGGGCUGGACUUCGCAGCACUGUUCUUAAUGGCUUUGUUCAGGCAGUGUCGAUGAGUGGAUUUCUUCUCCAAAGUAGGCUGAGGAGAACCAUGAUUUCUGCGCAUUGAACAACUCAAGUAUGUUGUUGUUACCUUCCAUUACACUUGGAGCUCAUGGUUGGACCUGUUCCAUUUUGCAGCUUAGAAAAUGCUUCAGAAGGAAAGAAUAGUCAACUGGGAUUUGGAACUUGGAACUUGAAGGUGACUAUUUUGUCUUGCCUGGUGCUUACUUGAUGGCUCCAGGAUCCACAUUCUCAUCCAAUCAGGAAGUGACAAAUCAGCAGGGAUAAUGCACCUGUGCCCUGUCACAGUUGUGCCUGCUUGUUGAGUGCAAUUACUUGACAUAUUACUUCAGAAUGGACAACUAGAUGGUGCAUUUUUUUCCAGAUAUGUUCAGUCUCUCAAUCAUAUUUAAUUGAGUCUGCACUAUUUUGUUCUUGAGUGCCUCAGCAAAUGAAUAGGACCAGAAUCAUUAUAUUCCCAGUCAAGUAUCUCUUUUCUUCCUUUUGUUUUUGUUUCUGUUUUUUUUUUUCUCAAAUGAAGACAUAAGUUGAGCUGUAUUUGUCUUCCAACACUCGACUUGAUGUAAAACCAACUAUAUUGUAUAAAUUUAGCUAAAACUAAUAAACAAGCGUCGCCAAAAGAUGGAGUUGUAGUGCACAAUUAGCUCUUUUGUUCUUCCCUACACUUUAUCCUCACUUAUAAAUGACGUGUCCCAAUAGUCUUUUGUUUCUCUUUAGUUCUUGCCAAGCAUCCAGGAUAAUAUUAUAGGAUAAUAUUAUGAUGAUCCUAGAGGUUGCUCAUUCCAUAUAUAAGACCAAGGGGAAAAAAUCCUUUAGUCAUCAUUAAAGUUGACUUAGAAAAGGUUUAUGAUAGAUUGUCAUGGAAUGUCAUUGACAAUGUGUUGAGGGCUUUUAACUUUCCUGAGGUUUUUGUUUCCUGAAUUUAUGCUUGUGUCUACUCCUGAGCAUGCAUGUUUGAUUAAUGGAUCUCCUUCCCAUUUUUUCAAAUAUGCUCAAGGUAUUAGACAAGGCGAUCCACCUUCACCUUAUCACCUUAUCUUUAUAUCUUAGUGGCACAAUUGUUGUCCCAUUAAUUGGACAAGGCUACUCUAGAUGACAAAAGCUUAUCCCUUUUGACUUCAAGCACAAGUAUAAGCUUACUCACAUGAUGUAUGCUGAUGACAUAAUUCUGUGUUUUAGAGCAAACAAAAAGUCUUGCAGAACUAUUAUUGAAAAUUUUUGGGAUUAUGAAUUUUUUAC